GGGGUUGUGGCUCAGUGGUAGAGCACUCGCCUAGUUCGUGUGAGGCCCUGGGUUCAAUCCUCAGCACCA
rnacentral:tRNA from 1 species